rnacentral:rRNA from 1 species
GACGAACGCUGGCGGCGUGCUUAACACAUGCAAGUCGAACGGGCCCGCCCCUGUUUUUGGGGGUGGGUUGAGUGGCGAACGGGUGAGUAUCACGUGAGUAACCUGCCCCCUGCUCCUGGAUAACUGCUUGAAAGGGCGGCUAAUACGGGGUGUGCCGGCUGGUCCGCAUGGGCCUGGUCGGGAUAGUUUCAUCUUCGGGUGUUUCGGUGGGGGAUGGGCUCGCGGCCUAUCAGCUUGUUGGUGGGGUGAUGGCCCACCAAGGCGGUGACGGGUAGCCGGACUGAGGGGGUGGGCGGCCACACUGGGACUGAGACACCGCACAGACUCCUGCGGGAGGCAGCAGUGGGGGGUAUUGCACAGUGGGCGGAAGCCUGAUGCAGCGACGUCGCGUGAGGGAUGGAGGCCUUCGGGUUGUGAACCUCUUUCUCCGGUGGUGAAGGCCCCGUCCGUUGCGGCGGGGUUGACGGUAGCCGGGUAUGAAGCGCCGGCUAACUACGUG